CUCCUCAUCCAGAAACAAAACCAGAAAUUUGUCCCGUGAAAAACCAUCCAACCAGAACUCUAAUAACUAAAGUUCCUCGGGCGAAUAAUGUCAACUCACAACACCGAAAUGGCAACAGUGGAGGAUGGAUUUCAAGAACAAGAAGGUGGAGACAAAGAAGAAGCUUAUUGACUACGGAGUCGGCACGGACUACAAAGGCGGACCUGCACAAAUUUUCAGGACUUGCUCGGAUCCCAAAUACAGAUCAGCAGGUACCAGAAGGAGGACUGUCAACAUGCAGCUUCCUUGCACGCUCCAGUCCAGUCCCUGCCGGACUUAGACUCUGUUGUUCCUUAGGAGAGUCCAUCUUCACAGCAGGAACCUCGUUCUUACAAGUUGUCUUUUUGUUUCAUGGACAGGAAGCUGAUCCUCUUCAUCCUCAGUCUGCUCAUCUUCUUCAAACAUCUCGUCUCAAUCCUCAAACUUGUUUUUCAGCUGCUUUGCUUCGGACUUUCCGUUGUGUCUACUGGCCUGCUGUGUGGUUUUCCUUGGGAGAAACUCUUCCCGGGCAUCCAAGGACAUCCCGCUGCAGACAUAAGAAACAAAAGUGUGUGUGCGUGUAGAGGAGGGACCAUUAUUGACUUAUUGAUGGUUUAAAUCCAUGUAGGUUACCUUGGAAGUAGUUUAACUUGGCAAGUAAAUAUCAAGUUAAAGUUGAGGGAUGUCUAACAAUUAUUGAUGAUAAUAGAAAAGUGAGCACAUGAGCAUUUUUAAAAUGUUUGU